rnacentral:rRNA from 1 species
GUAGGUGGCAAGCGUUGUCCGGAAUUAUUGGGCGUAAAGCGCGCGCAGGCGGUCCUUUAAGUCUGAUGUGAAGGGCCCACGGGCUCAACCGUGGAGGGUCAUUGGAAACUGGGGGACUUGAGUACAGAAGAGGAAAGCGGAAUUCCAAGUGUAGCGGUGAAAUGCGUAGAGAUUUGGAGGAACACCAGUGGCGAAGGCGGCUUUCUGGUCUGUAACUGACGCUGAGGCGCGAAAGCAUGGGGAGCAAACAGGAUUAGAUACCCUGGUAGUCCACGCCGUAAACGAUGAGUGCUAAGUGUUAGGGGGUUUCCGCCCCUUAGUGCUGCAGCUAACGCAUUAAGCACUCCGCCUGGGGAGUACGGCCGCAAAGGCUG